AUUAACCUGACAGUUCAACUCUGAUUUUACAGCUGGAGAUUUCAUGUGUGGCUGUGAAUCUCCUAAAAAUCACCCCUGCUGCUGUCGUGCAGCUGGCCUGCGUUAGCAUCUGUGCAUCCGCGGGUUCAGAAGGGGCAGAGAUGCUGACUGUCCUCUCUUCUCUGCCUGGUCCUCGGUGGGGCCUCUGGCACCUGCUUCAUAUCAGGACAACUGAUACCUGAAGGAGACGAAGAGGUCACUGGAAAAUGCACACAAGCGACACAAGUGACCAUGAAAUAGAUCCGUGCUGAGCUGCUCAAUAAUGGACCUGAACUCUGAAGUACACCAGCGUCUUGACAAACUGCAGCAGCAGAGGAUGAUGGCACCCUCAGGGGCUUGUUCCUGCCAGCGGUCGCUCCACACCCCCCCACUGACUCACUGUGAUGAUCUGCUGGAGCUCACAGAGGAGAGAUGCUUCAUCUGAGCGAUCCUGUCGAAGAACAACAGACGUCCAGCUGAGGCAGCAGGAGAGCGGCGGUGGAGCUGCAGCGCCACGUCAGACCUGCUCCUUUACAUCCCAGACACCCUUACUCUGUCAGUUAGUCAUCCUGGAUGGUUUCUUUUUUUUACUCCAUUUGCUUAAGCGUUUUCAUCAAAUCUUUGUGAGUCAUUCAUGAGAGUGCUGCAUUUGUCUGAUCAGAAAAGAAGCUUUUCCAACAACACUGACCUGAAUUCACCGUUUAAGCUGGUUUGUGUAAAAACUACCAACAUUCUGCCAAUAAUAAGAGUUCAAUUUCUCCAGAAAUACUCCAUGUCUUAUAUGAGUAAACACAAAAUAAAGGUUUGUUGUACUUAAAAAUGAAAGUUGUUGAAGGAAAGCAUGAUUUGCUAAAAAAUUAAGUUAUUUAGCACCAGAAAGUUAAGAACAACAGACAGUUUACUCCCAAUUCCUACAGUAAU